rnacentral:rRNA from 1 species
CCUACGGGAGGCAGCAGUGGGGAAUUUUGGACAAUGGGCGAAAGCCUGAUCCAGCAAUGCCGCGUGUGUGAAGAAGGCCUUCGGGUUGUAAAGCACUUUUGUCCGGAAAGAAAUCCUUGACUCUAAUACAGUCGGGGGAUGACGGUACCGGAAGAAUAAGCACCGGCUAACUACGUGCCAGCAGCCGCGGUAAUACGUAGGGUGCGAGCGUUAAUCGGAAUUACUGGGCGUAAAGCGUGCGCAGGCGGUUUGCUAAGACCGAUGUGAAAUCCCCGGGCUCAACCUGGGAACUGCAUUGGUGACUGGCAGGCUAGAGUAUGGCAGAGGGGGGUAGAAUUCCACGUGUAGCAGUGAAAUGCGUAGAGAUGUGGAGGAAUACCGAUGGCGAAGGCAGCCCCCUGGGCCAAUACUGACGCUCAUGCACGAAAGCGUGGGGAGCAAACAGGAUUAGAUACCCUGGUAGUCCACGCCCUAAACGAUGUCAACUAGUUGUUGGGAUUCAUUUCCUUAGUAACGUAGCUAACGCGUGAAGUUGACCGCCUGGGGAGUACGGUCGCAAGAUUAAAACGUUAAGGAAUUGACGGNGUGAGACGUCGACCGAGGACGACGACGAGGGUUAGAGG